AGCACAUGCUCAGCGAAAUUGAAUUCUCCGUGAAGAUGCGGAGUACCCGCGGUUAGACGGAAAGACCCCGUGCACCUUUACUGCAGCUUUGCGCUGGCAUUAGGCGAAACAUGUGUAGGAUAGGUGGGAGCCUUUGAAGCCCUGGCGCCAGCCAGGGUGGAGGCGUCCUUGAAAUACCACCCUUGGUUCGCUUGAUGUCUAACCCAGAUCCGUGAUCCGGAUCGGGAACACCGCAUGGUGGGCAGUUUGACUGGGGCGGUCGCCU
rnacentral:rRNA from 1 species